rnacentral:rRNA from 1 species
AUACGGAGGGGGUUAGCGUUGUUCGGAAUUACUGGGCGUAAAGCGUACGUAGGCGGAUCGGAAAGUAAGGGGUGAAAUCCCAGGGCUCAACCCUGGAACUGCCUCUUAAACUCCCGGUCUUGAGUUAGAGAGAGGUGAGUGGAAUUCCUAGUGUAGAGGUGAAAUUCGUAGAUAUUAGGAGGAACACCAGUGGCGAAGGCGGCUCACUGGCUCGAUACUGACGCUGAGGUACGAAAGUGUGGGGAGCAAACAGGAUUAGAAACCCUAGUAGUCC